GGGGCGAGCAAUCCUUUACUGGGAAAAGACGCUACCAGCAGACGGCCACUCCGCUCCACUCCACUCACGGAGACUUCUUCGCUCGGGUGGUGACGCCACCGGCACGCGUCGCCGGUAAUCACAAGUUCACCGAUUUUAACGGCAGUUUCCGGUAUCACUGUGAGUCAGGCGAAGACGCGAGUCAACCCGGUUCCUGGCGGCAGCAACAGGGCGCCCAAACCAGUCAGCCAGGGAGCCGCCAGUCAACCAGCGAGCGAGAUGUCCGCGUCGGCUCGAGCCCGGAGCCUUGAAGGGAAGAAGAAGCGCGACGGGAGAACCACGACGGCGAGACCCUUGGGCGAGAGAGGAUGCGAAUGGUGACUCGGUGGCAGAGUCUACGACUACAAGACGAAGGGAAAGGAUGUAGCGUCGCCGCCGCGCAAUUUCCAACUAACGUCCGUAGAGUAGAAGAUAGAUAGCCGAGGAGGAGCUAGCUUCAGUAAUAUUUACAUGUAAAGUUGUUCGAGCUGGGGCGCGCGGCGGGGGAACAGUGGAACCGAAGCCGCCGGGGAGAGUUGAGGAAAUCAAGAUGCUACGAAGAAGCCUCAACCGACUGUUUAAAGGCGACGAAAGAAGAGUCGACAGUCGGACUAUCUUCGUCGGUCAUCCGCCAUGUUCUGCCAGCGAGCCUUUCAUCCCGCCAAAGUUUUGUGACAACAGAAUUGUGUCGUCUAAGUAUACCGUGUGGAACUUUUUACCAAAGAACUUGUUUGAACAGUUCAGAAGAAUUGCCAAUUUCUACUUCCUUAUCAUCUUCCUGGUGCAGGUGAUAGUGGACACCCCCACCAGCCCAGUCACCAGUGGCCUACCCUUAUUUUUUGUGAUUACAGUGACGGCGAUCAAGCAGGGCUAUGAGGACUGGCUCCGACACAAGGCUGACAAUGAGGUGAACAAGUACCCCGUGACAGUGCUUGAAAACGGUCUGAGGCUACGGAAGGAGAGUGAGAAGAUCAAGGUGGGAGACAUUUUGGAGGUGGAAGAAGAUGAGACCUUUCCCUGUGAUUUAAUCCUGCUCAGAUCCAGCCGGGAUGAUGACACCUGUUUUGUUACCACUGCUAGUCUGGAUGGCGAGUCCAACCAUAAAACACACUACACUGUUCCAGACAUAGAGAAGGAUCUGGAAUCCCUCAGUGCCACUUUGGAGUGUGAACAGCCUCAGCCUGACCUUUAUAAGUUCGUCGGCCGUAUGCACAUCUACAAAAGCAAUCAGGAGACUGUAGUAAGGUCUUUGGGCCCGGAGAACUUGCUGCUUAAAGGAGCAACCUUAAAAAAUACUGAGAAAGUCUGCGGUGUCGCUAUUUACACUGGCAUGGAGACCAAAAUGGCUCUCAAUUAUCAGGGCAAAUCUCAGAAACGCUCUGCUGUGGAGAAGUCCAUCAAUGCCUUCCUUUUGGUGUACCUUUGCAUUUUGUUGAGCAAGGCCCUGGUGUGCACCACGCUCAAGUAUGUGUGGCAAAGCAAGCCCGGACAAGAUGAGCCUUGGUACAAUACGAAAACCCAGAAAGAGAAGGACACCAAUCAGUAUCUAAAGAUGUUCACCGACUUCCUGUCAUUCAUGGUGCUUUUCAACUUCAUCAUUCCCGUGUCCAUGUACGUGACCGUUGAGAUGCAAAAGUUUUUGGGGUCCUUUUUCAUCGCCUGGGACAAGGAUUUCUUUGACCCAGAAAUCCAGGAAGGGGCGCUGGUCAACACCUCCGACCUCAAUGAGGAACUGGGACAGGUGGAGUAUGUCUUCACGGACAAGACGGGGACCCUCACUCAGAAUAACAUGGAGUUCAUUGAGUGCUGCAUCGAUGGAUACCAGUACAAGCAUCAAGACUUUGACGCAGAAUUAGACGGAUUAAACUCGGAAGUAGAGGAAGAUUUAUUUUGUGUCACAGAUGGGCCCAUGACCAAACUGAAGGAAAAAGCUGACAAGGACCGCGAGGAGCUGUUUCUGCGCGCCCUUUGUCUGUGCCACACGGUUCAGGUGAAGGAGUCCCCUGAGCAGAGUCCAGUCCAAGGUGACGGGUUUGGCGAACAGGUGGAUUCCGUUGUACUCGGCGCCCCUAAGGAUGAGAGGGGCUUCAUAGCGUCCUCACCUGAUGAGGUCGCUCUGGUCAAGGGUGCCAUGAGGUAUGGCUUCAAAUUUCUGGGUCUGGAAAGUAAAGCCAUGAAAAUCCUCAACAGGAGCCAUGAAAUCGAAGUCUAUGAGUUGCUUCAUGUGUUGAAUUUUGACCCAGUGAGAAGACGAAUGAGUGUGAUUGUCAAAUGCAAGUCAGGUGAUAUUGUGCUCUUCUGCAAGGGAGCAGACUCCUCCAUUUUCCCUCGCGUCAGACAGGAGGAAGUAGAACCGACACGUGUGCACGUGGAGCGGAACGCAAAGGAGGGCUACAGAACACUGUGUGUGGCUUACAAACUACUCGACCUGGAGGAGUACGCCCAGGUAGACGCGAGCCUGAGGGAAGCCAGGCUGGCUCUGCAGGGCAGGGAGGAAAAGCUCGUGGCCAUUUAUAACGAAGUGGAGACCGGCAUGAGUCUCAUCGGCGCGACUGCUGUUGAAGAUAGACUUCAAGAGGAGGCCGCAGAAACAAUGGAGGCUCUGCAGGGGGCCGGCAUUAAGAUCUGGGUCCUGACGGGAGACAAAAUGGAGACGGCAAAGUCUACCUGUUUUGCCUGUCGCUUGUUUCAGAUGACCACCGAGCUGUUAGAGCUAACGGUGCGCACUCUGGAUGAAGGAGGUCAAAAGCGCGAGGAACGACUGCACGAGCUCUUACUCGAGUAUCACAAGAAAGCGGUGCAGGAUUCGCCAGCCUUAGAAAAUGGCAUCAGCGGGAACUGGUCGGUUACCAGCCACGACUAUGGUUUCAUUAUUGAUGGAGCCACUCUAUCAAUGGUGCUCAACUCCGCCGAUUCCAACUCCAGCCACUACAGGAACCUCUUCCUGCAGAUUUGUCAAAACUGCACCGCUGUGCUCUGCUGUCGCAUGGCUCCAUUGCAAAAGGCCCAGAUUGUAAAACUGGUGAAGAACUCUAAAGGCAACCCGAUUACCCUCUCCAUUGGUGAUGGUGCCAAUGACGUCAGCAUGAUUUUGGAAGCUCAUGUUGGCAUCGGCAUCAAGGGUAAAGAGGGUCGGCAGGCGGUGAGGAACAGUGAUUACGCCAUCCCCAAACUCAAGCACCUGAAGAAACUCCUGCUGGCCCAUGGACAUCUCUACUAUGUUCGCAUUGCACACUUGGUUCAGUAUUUCUUCUACAAGAACCUGUGCUUCAUCUUACCUCAAUUUUUGUACCAGUUCUUCUGCGGCCAUUCUCAGCAGCCCCUCUAUGACGCAGCCUAUCUGACGAUGUACAACAUCUGCUUCACCUCUAUGCCCAUCCUGGCUUACAGCCUCUUGGAGCAGCACAUCAGUAUCCAGGCUUUGCUGAACAAUGCUCCCCUCUACAGAGAGAUUCGCAAGAAUGCCAUGUUGCGAUGGAGGCCCUUCAUGUACUGGACGUUACUGGGCGUCUUCCACGGUUUGGUCUUCUUCAUCGGUGUGCGAUGUUUGUUCAGGAACGCCGCCCUGCCGGAUAACGGCCAGGUUUAUGGGAACUGGUCAUAUGGCACAAUUGUCUUCACCGUCCUCGUCUUCACGGUCACACUGAAGCUUGCCCUGGACACACGACACUGGACAUGGGUCAACCACUUAGUAAUAUGGGGCUCCCUUGCAUUUUACAUGCUUUUCAGCUUCUUCUGGGGAGGAAUUAUUUGGCCAUUCCUGAGGCAGCAGCGUAUGUAUUUUGUGUUUGCCACCAUGCUGAGAUCAGUGUCAGCCUGGUUGGCCAUCAUCUUGCUCGUCGUGCUCAGCCUCCUGCCAGAGAUCCUUCUGGCCGCCUUCCGCAAGCCCUUCAACCCAUUUACUCAGCAGAUGAAGCACCGCCUUCCUUCCUCGGGGACUUCUACUAUCUUCAUGUUGUCGCAGACCGCUAGCACUCACAGCUUCUCGUGGAGUGACUGAGGUCUCUUUUCUCUUUCUGUUAGCGUUGACAUCUGCCCCGCUUUUUCCAUGUGUGCACUUUGACGUUCCUUUCCUCACUGUAGUCACCGUUUCUACCCUCCACGUCAUCACGAACGUGGGAAGAAGCUCUAUUGAAUCAGCCAGUACGUUCAAACCUUGAAUCUCAGCACUUAAUUUGGAAGGACUGAGAAUCUAUGCGUGUCUUCGAGUCUUUCGUGAUGAUGUGCGCGGUCAUAUCAGUCAGCCGUUUGUUUCCUCCCAGCUGCGCCUGUCGCAUGUUCAGCAUACGUCCGAGCAUCUAGGUCUGCAUGAGGCUCAAGUCGCCAUCCGCAUUAUGGACACGCACCGCAGCUCCCCCUUCUGGCCACUGCAUUGUGUUUGUCUCUGCAUGUGUAUGUUUGUCUGCUGCGGAGUUCAAGGGACGGCCUUGCUCAAAAGCCACAUAUGAUUUUUUCUUUUUUUUUAAAUAGACUCUCACAUCACAUUUAGAUGAGGUAAAGGGAAAAAAUAAUAAUAAUUUGCCCACCCCUGGUUUAAAGAGGCUGCACCUAUAAUUACAUAGUACGCCAUUUUAGAAUGUCAGAGUGGCUACAAUCUCAACCACUUUAGUCAAAAAUGUACAAAGUGGGUUUGACUAAGGUAAGCAACUAAGGAACAGGUAUUUUACUAGUCUGGUUUCCUGCAAAAAGGUGCUUUUUCUGUGUCCAUGUGUCUCACUGUAUUAAGUCUUUUUGUGUAUUCGUUCCACUUGUCUGACAGCACUCAUAAGACUGAGAGCGACAAUUUCUGUCUGUCUGUUUGUUUGUGCCUGUGGUGUAUGUAGAGCCAUGCGAGACGUAAUUCAGGAUUCUCUUUUUUUUUUCCCAUUUUUAAUGUUUUGGGGUGGCCCACAGCCCCGUAGUCCACUCUAAUAGAUCCACCCCAUUCCUGAGCAGAUCACUUCAUUCCGAAUCAAAGGAAGAGUCCUCAUACUGGUGUGAGCAUGGUGUGAAAAAGGAUUAUUUGUAUUAGCAUUUCACCUGUGUGUUUCAGUAGUGUGUAUUUGCGGUAAUCCUGAAUUAUGUCUCCGGCGGUCCUUCAUAUGCUUGUCAGUUUAGUUACGUCUCUGGUGUCCUCUUACCCCACCCUUCCAGAGGAAUCCAGUUGAGUCGAAUUCGGGGGGCGUCCCGUCCCCACGGUCGUCAACCAGGCCCCUGCUCAUGAGAACCUUUACAGAUGAGUCCAAUACUGUCAUUUAAACAGGUACCGGUCCAUCCCUGGGCCUAUGAAGCCAAUCUAAAGCUGCCUACCAACCCAAGCCCCCUUCAGCUGAUGUCUCCACAAUCCUGGCUUCUAACUUAGUCUUACUAGGCAUCGAUUCCAUACACGACGUGGUGUGUGGCUUUGUGUUCUGCAAGCUGAUAUUGGUUGGCUGAAGAGAUGCACACUUUCUUGCAAAAUUUGGUUCAUUUUUCAACAAACGUGCAUUUUAAAAUCAGUCAAAUGGGUCUUUUCAGCCUCCCUUUUGAUGCCUACCCGACCUCUCACCCCUCAUCACCCGCUUUAAAUCAAAUCUUCCGAGUGUGCUAAUGCCACCGUUGUUGGGAUCGCACAAGGGUCAGCUGGCCUGUGUGAUUUCGGCCUUCGCGGUUGUUGUGCUGUGACGUGAUCAUGCGUGCAUGUUGGAACCGUGCCUUCAUUAUUUGUGUCAACCACAGUCAGAAUGCAGCUACAGUACAUCGGCACGGUGGAAAGGUCACAUGAUUGAAAGAGUAGUGCUCAUCCUGGUUCUUUUUGCAAUCAGAAAUUGGUACCCUUAUUUCAUUCUGUAGGUGUUUUCAUCAUAUUUGUACAUGCUGGGGUGCCUUGAGCAAAAGUUGACCCCUCGAUAGUUGCUAGCAUGCUCACGCAACACAUUAAUUUACAUCAAGGCACCACUGUCAUUUUAACAAUAUGAAAAAAAAAAAGCAACAUUACCAUUAUAACAUAAAAGCUGUCAAAUUAAAACACUUGUGAAAAGAAAUGGGAUGAUGCAAUUUUCCUAUGAGUGGUGGUGACUAACAAUGAUAGUUUUUUAUUUUUUUUUACACACUUAACACGGUUUCGGUGUCCAAAAUGUUCAUAUUGCAGGUCGCAACUAUUGAGUGGUAUUUUUGCCAACAUUUUUGCUCAACGAUACGAGCAACAUCCUAUCUCACGCUUCCCUCGGAAGCUGCAAACUUCCACCUAUUCUCUCUCUGCAAUGUGAACAUCAGAGGGUGUAGCCCAUACUUUUGUUUUUGUGUGUGUUGUGUUUUGACCACAUCCUGUAGUCAGUCAGAGCUACGUGUGAUCGCCUGAUGACUUUUAAAGUGUACAAUGGCAUCUGGCGCUUAACCCCCAUUUGUGUUCCCCAACUAGCUGCCCGACGAAGACCAGCUGUGCACAUCCAGGCUGCAGCCGUGGCUCUCAUAUCUUACAAACAACUGAUGGCUCACCAGUGAAGGGACGUGGCAGUGGGGGCCAUAUUUCAGGGUUCUGUGCCAGUCAGGUCAGACGCAUGAUCACCACGGGAGGAACGGCACCUCUAACUCUAAUUUAAGGAGACAAAAAAAACUCAACUGUCCGUCCUCUCGAUUAGUUUUGACAGUCUAACACACAAACACGCCACCCAUGCAUGACUGCGGAGCAGCUCACCUUUUUCCCUUCUUUUUUGUAUGUACUCAGAUGAGAGACUUGACUAUUGUCUUUUAUCUACAAAUGAAUGCAACACAGCUGCCUUGUCCCAAACUCUGACUGCUGUGUUUUAACAAGCAGUUACAUUACCACUCACUCUUAUGCUCGACUGCAUGAGGGGAAAAGUCUUUAUAAUGGAAUGUUUUGAAAAAACGACAAGAGAAGGAAGAGGUGUGUUAAAUGGUUAUUUGUUUCCCCCCCAACAUAGGUAUCUGGGCCAUCACUUUUUUUUUUUUUUUUCAAUCAGUGGUCUGAAAACCUGUCAUUCAAGUUUGUUAGUUUGCUGAAACCCGUCCACGCGCUCUAAAAAAAAGCCAAAAACGUGUGUGUCUGUGUAGGGGGGGGGAUUAAGGAAUAGAUUAGCGAUUUAGGGGCAGUGUGGCAAAGCUCAUAGCGUGACCUCAAUCUUCACGCCUUAAAAGUGUUUUUGUUUAAUUUAAAGAUUCCAAUUAAGAUGAGAGAUUUAAUAUAUGCUACACUGUAUGAAGCUCAUAUGCUGAAAGCCAAAAAAAGACUCGGACAUUUGUGACUUGAAAGUGUUGUUUUUUUGUGUGGUGUGUGCAUGCCCACAAAAUUCCUGAAUGGCUCAAAAGAAGCCACAAAUGCCUGUGGGAAACUUGCAUUAAUUAGCCAUUUACAGUGGUGCCUUGACUUACAAAUUUAAUUAGUUGCGUGACCAUGCUUAUAACUCUAAUCUCUUAUCUUCAGGUAUUGUUUGCAGUUGAAAUGAAUGGAAAUGUCAUUAAUUGCAGCAGCAGAUCAAAUAUUUUUCACAAUAAAGAUAUCCAGUAGUGUCACAAGUAAAUUAAAACUAAAGAAAUUGAACAGUUUUUGCUACAUUUCAGUUUUAUUAGAUCAACCACAGUGACAUGGGUAUUUGUUAGCCCAUUCAUAGUGUUAGCAACAAUAUGAAUAUAUAUAUAAUAUACAAUAUGAACAAUAUUGUUGUGAAGUGAUUUACUUCACUAUACAACCAACACUUGGAUUUUUCUGGUUUUAUUUUUCCUCACAAGUCAAAAUAACAACAAAAGUCCAAUGCUGGCUCUUAAUUCCAAAAGCAAGUCAGGUCACGCAUAUCUGAAGGCAUCACUGUAUUUGGAAAGAAAUCGGGCCAAAUCAGCCGUGGACACGUUGCUCUUUAAAUGAAGCUAGAAUUAGCCAAAUGGUUUGUUUGACAAGCAACUUGAAAUGAAAUCCUACGAAAAUUCUUUGACCACUCCUGCACUGUUCUCGAGACAUCAAUGGUUCAUCAAGGCACGUGAACCUCACUAUGUACACGGUAGCCCACUGUGAGGAGGUGAUAUUAUAAAAUAAAUAUACUGUAUGAUGAUGCAUUCCCUUCAACCAUGCAAUUACUUUUACAGCCAUUAUAUUAAGGGUGAGUUUUUCCACGACUAUAUUUUUCCGUAUUUAUUAAGGUAUCAUUUGACUCGCAAAUGUUCUAUUUUUAGGUCUUACUAUGGAAACCUGUCUUGAUAUUCUUACAAAAAAAAACUGCUUUCAGGCUUUAUGAGUUACCUCCUGACUGCACUGUGCUGGCAAAAGAAGUCAAGUCUGCUUUGUUAUGAAACUUUACAACCUUUAAGUGGCAUCAGUAAUGCCUUUCCCCCCCCCCGACGGCUUUCAACCUUUGUGGAGUUUGUUUCCCAUGUCUAAACAGAAAUCUCAACAGCAGAUUGUAUUUUUAACCUUUUUCUCUUUUCCCGAGCUACUUUUCUGUAAGAAAAUCAAAAUGUACCAAAAACCAAGAGGUUAUGGACACCGUACCAUCUUGUGCCCUUUUUUGGCUCGCCAGCCUCAAAACACUCCUCGACCUCUAAGAUGAAUGUAUUGAAAUUCUAUUUAAAUUCUGAAAGUUUCUCUUUAAUAAAGACCAUUUUUGAAGAUAAAAA